CAUAGUUAUAGUUAUAGUUAUAGUAGAAGCCUGUAAAUAUUCAUCUCUCUCGCUUUGUGGUGAUGCUCGUUCGUAUGCAGUAGAAACAUGCUUUCUCCUUUCAAAAAUGUCAAACUCUAUGUCUUUAGAUCUGUCAUGCCUCUACCUCUUGCUCCAAUUUGAAUAAAAUUUUUCCCUCUGUGCGUGGUACGCUUGCACUUUUUUCUCUCUUUCAAUCUUCUGAAUGUAGUUUUACUUUCUCUUUGUCUAAUACCCUAGUUCACUUAUUUUUUUCAUAAAUCUCGUGUUUUACGUUGCUCUGGACAAAUUGUGGCGAUGGAGUGGUGAUUGGAUCCGAUUCAUGCUUUGUAUGUUCGAUUGGGAACUUCCCUGAUAUCGUUCCUUAGUUGUUCUUCCUCUUCAAUCCAAUCCUCCAUCCACAGCCCCUCUUCCAUCGUCACCAAAGAGGAACAUGAAUUGCAGGAAUAGGAAAAGCUAUUCUUUGAUGUCGACGACGACAAGAACAACGAGUUGACAAAACCCUAAGCCCAAACGCGUCCUUGAACCCAAUCCCACAGGUCAUCCGCCUAUUUCGCCAUGGCGGUCCUUUUCUCGUUGUGUGUUCGCUCUUGUUCUACUUCUUCUACGUCGAGGUGUCCUCCUUGGAGAAAGUUUUACUGGGGUUGAUUUUCGUGGUCGUGGCACUGUACUUUGUGUCCAAGAACAAGGGUUUGAUUUUGAGAUCCUUUUCCGCGGUGAAGCAUUUGUGGGAGGAGAAUGUAAAGCGCUUGGGGUUUUCAAAGGUGGUGGCAGCGAGGCCGGUGCAGUGGUUCAACGGAUAGCCGGCUGAAGCGGGAAGGAAGGCGACGAAGAUAGUGAGGGAACGGGUGUAGUUUUACAGCAAUGGGGAGUCGCUUCAGGGGUUGAGACACAGUUAUGGUGUUUAUAGGUUCUAUAUGGGAUCGCUUGGGAGGAUCUGGUCUGUUAUCCCCUUUAGUUGUUGAUUUAUUGGUUCCACUACCACUUUAUGAGUUUUCUGCUUUCUUCUUGCAUGCCUAAGUAGAACUUAAACUACCAAGUUCUAAUUUAGAUGCCUUGGUUGUUAGAUAACUGAUUGAUUGGUUUCUGUUGAUGAUUUAUGCGGCUUGUUCGAUUUGUCUACUAAUGGGUUGCAUUGUAAAGUUAUUUUCUUCUUCAAUUAGCAUUCAUUGUUUCUUGGGAGGUUAGAGUAGACAAUAACGCCUGAGGUUUUAGAUGUUGUUUUUCAAAAAUCUUAUUUUGGAUGAAUUGUUGUGCUGUAGAAAUGGUGACAACCUCCUUUUCUCUCCAAGAACGUAAGCCAUUAAACUCUAGUGUAUUUUUUCUUCCCUUAAUAAGCUAGCUCCCACCCACUAACUUUUCUAGUGUUGCACAUGCAACACUUGCUGGUGAGUUUUAUAGCAUUGUUGAUCUUUGCAAUGUCUCUGAAACUCGGUACUUAAUGCAGACCCCUUGUGCUUCCAUGAUCAAUGAACGUCCCCAUGUAAAAGCUUGGUGGGAAGAUAUCUCUUAUAGGCCUGCUUUCAAGUAAGGUUGAGGCGGGAAUGACUUUUGGGCAACAUGCAGUGUUUUACUAAGAUAGGAAGCUCUUUAUCCCUUCAAUAUUUUCUUCAUCUUUUCACAACAGAUUAUACAUACACAUUGAAGCCUUGAGGUGAUAAAUCUUUUUUGAUUGAAGAGAAGCAUCCAUGGCAGGCAUGGCCAACAGUGAGAUUUCACGGCUAGAGGUGAAUUCAGCAACAGCUGGUAAAGGAGGGCUUGAAAUAUAUUCAUUGUUAUAUGUGCACUUAGUGGUGUUUAUGGAGUAACAAAUGCUCAUUUUCAAGGUGGAAUGGUGGGAGACCUGUCCUACAUGCAACCAGAGUUCAUUCAGUCAUUCCUUGCUGGUUUGGCAGCAUCUGGUGUAUUUUUGUGGGAAUGACAAAAGCAGCAUCUGGUGUUUUGAACUGAUAUUUAAUUUCAAUGUUCAUAAUGUCAAUCAUAAUUCAUAGAUGGACCAUUGUUGAGGUGUUAAUCAACUACUAUUUGCUUCUGUAGGGAUUUUUCUUUCAAAAAUCAGCCCUUUACAAGUGUAAUAUGGCUGGGAAACCUGCUGUGCUUACACGCAUUAUGGAUAGUGACUGACAACUUAAGACCAACUCGUGCAGAAGCCACUGAUGUUGCCAAUGGUGUUUUAGAUGGUAACUCACCUUUCACAUGAUCCUGCUAGUUAAGGGGAGUGAUGAGUACUAGGAUGUCCAGGAAAAUUUUAUCUUCUUGUUAAGUUUAUAUUUAUAUAUAGCUUGAAAUUUUCAUAUUAGAAUAGCAGAAGACCAUGGUGUCACCACACUACCACUUUUUUCUUAGCUUCAACAACAUCAUUUGAUAAAACAUGGCCUCUCUCCGUUUUCUCUUCUUGACUUUCUUCGUUGUGUUGUCACUUAACACUGGCGAGGUUGAAGCUAGCAGAAAACUUUUGUCUUCAUCACUUCCUGAUUUGGGAAACAUUCCCGUCUUUGAGUUUCCACCGGGAACACCAUGGCCAGAAUACAGGUUGCCUCCAUUUUUGAAAUCUAAUUAGCCAACAAUUCCUUCAAGUUACUACUCUUACACUCCACCUUCCAACACAAACAUGGCCAAAGCUUCUUCCAAGCCUUGAGAACAUGCAUACAAUUUGGCAUCUUCUUACAUGUACUGUUGUUUUAGCAGCAAAAUAAAAAGGUUCAUGGUAAUGUUUUGGAUUCUACAAGCAAUUGGAGGGAAGCACUGGAUGCGUUUCAAGAGAGUUACAGUUUUGGCUGCAACAUAUGAUUGAAUUUGAUACCUGAAAAUCAAACACCUAAGCCAGGGCAUGUAAUCUGCAAUUGAAAGCUCCAACCAAGUUCAUCACCUCGUGAGUCAUCAAUUUUAAGUCCAAUCAUCUUUGGCACGCCCGAACACCAUUUUGAAGACGAUGUUCUCCAUUAGCUCAAACAGCAACUGACUCAGAUCCACAACCUUACCUGAUGCUGCACAAUUUUUCGGCGACUUCACCAACACUCUCAACUCCUCUCUCCUCAGUGGAGCAAACAUCUCAACCUUUGAGGCACUCAGAAGCUCCAGAGUGCAAACUUUCCUCAUGUUGCGCCAGUAUGCACUGUACUCAGAAAAGGCCAAACCUUUGAAGCCAUAAGAAAGAAAUUCGGAGGCUUGGAUUUUGGGUCUGCUGGCAAAAACAGUUUCAGGGGUUUUCAGGAACAGUUCUGCAGUUUGUGGAGAGAAUCAGUAUUUGUGGAGAAGGAAUUUCUGGUUAAAAUUCCCUGAAGUAUUUGUUAGAUUUUUCUUUCAUUAGUUUAGUACAGCUCUUGUUUUAGCUUAGUCUAACAUGCAUUUCUAGGUUUGAUUAGGUGAAAUUUCGUACUUCUUUUAUCAAUGACUGAUUACCUUGCUGCUUGCAAUGCAAUGGUAAUUACAAUGUACUUCUCUUGGAAUUCUUCUCUAAUGCAUGUUUAUCUGUCUCAUAUUUCCCUUUGA